AAACCACUCACAGGUGAAGUGAAUAGCAGAUUUUAUCAUUUCAAGGGCACCAAUAAAAGGGAAGGGUAUUGGAGGCAGCAAGUGAGCAGUCAGUUUUUCAACUGCAUGUGUUGAAAGCAGAAAAAUUGGCAAGCAAAAAGAUCUGAGUGACUUUGACAAGGGCCAAAAAGUGAUGGCUAGAUGACUGGGUCAGAGCAUGUCCAAAACAGACAAUCUCGUGUGGUAAGUUCCUACCAAAAAUGAUGCAAGGAAGGACAACUGAACUCUUGUCUGUAUCCCAAAUUGCUGGAAAAAAACAUGAUGCUGUCCAUAAUAGAAAGGUGUUAGAACACCCAUAGUAUCAGUUAAUUCGUAUAAGGCUGCAUAGCCGUAGACUUGUCAGAGUGCCCAUGAGCACUCCUGUCCACCGGCAAAAACGACUUAUGCGGAUGUGUCAGAACUGGACCACUGAGCAAUGGAAGAAUGUUUGAAGAUGUGAGGAAAGGAAUGCAGC